UGAGAAUGCCGGUGUGAGUAGCGAAAGACGGGUGAGAAUCCCGUCCACCGAUUGACUAAGGUUUCCAGAGGAAGGCUCGUCCGCUCUGGGUUAGUCGGGUCCUAAGCUGAGGCCGACAGGCGUAGGCGAUGGAUAACAGGUUGAUAUUCCUGUACCACCUAUAAUCGUUUUAAUCGAUGGGGGGACGCAGUAGGAUAGGCGAAGCGUGCGAUUGGAUUGCACGUCUAAGCAGUAAGGCUGAGUAUUAGGCAAAUCCGGUACUCGUUAAGGCUGAGCUGUGAUGGGGAGAAGACAUUGUGUCUUCGAGUCGUUGAUUUCACACUGCCGAGAAAAGCCUCUAGAUAGAAAAUAGGUGCCCGUACCGCAAACCGACACAGGUAGUCAAGAUGAGAAUUCUAAGGUGAGCGAGCGAACUCUCGUUAAGGAACUCGGCAAAAUGACCCCGUAACUUCGGGAGAAGGGGUGCUCUUUAGGGUUAACGCCCAGAAGAGCCGCAGUGAAUAGGCCCAAGCGACUGUUUAUCAAAAACACAGGUCUCUGCUAAACCGUAAGGUGAUGUAUAGGGGCUGACGCCUGCCCGGUGCUGGAAGGUUAAGAGGAGUGGUUAGCUUCUGCGAAGCUACGAAUCGAAGCCCCAGUAAACGGCGGCCGUAACUAUAACGGUCCUAAGGUAGCGAAAUUCCUUGUCGGGUAAGUUCCGACCCGCACGAAAGGCGUAACGAUUUGGGCACUGUCUCAACGAGAGACUCGGUGAAAUCAUAGUACCUGUGAAGAUGCAGGUUACCCGCGACAGGACGGAAAGACCCCGUGGAGCUUUACUGUAGCCUGAUAUUGAAAUUCGGCACAGCUUGUACAGGAUAGGUAGGAGCCUUUGAAACGUGAGCGCUAGCUUACGUGGAGGCGCUGGUGGGAUACUACCCUAGCUGUGUUGGCUUUCUAACCCGCACCACUUAUCGUGGUGGGAGACAGUGUCAGGCGGGCAGUUUGACUGGGGCGGUCGCCUCCUAAAAGGUAACGGAGGCGCUCAAAGGUUCCCUCAGAAUGGUUGGAAAUCAUUCAUAGAGUGUAAAGGCAUAAGGGAGCUUGACUGCGAGACCUACAAGUCGAGCAGGGUCGAAAGACGGACUUAGUGAUCCGGUGGUUCCGCAUGGAAGGGCCAUCGCUCAACGGAUAAAAGCUACCCCGGGGAUAACAGGCUUAUCUCCCCCAAGAGUUCACAUCGACGGGGAGGUUUGGCACCUCGAUGUCGGCUCAUCGCAUCCUGGGGCUGUAGUCGGUCCCAAGGGUUGGGCUGUUCGCCCAUUAAAGCGGUACGCGAGCUGGGUUCAGAACGUCGUGAGACAGUUCGGUCCCUAUCCGUCGUGGGCGUAGGAAAUUUGAGAGGAGCUGUCCUUAGUACGAGAGGACCGGGAUGGACAUACCUCUGGUGUACCAGUUGUCGUGCCAACGGCAUAGCUGGGUAGCUAUGUGUGGACGGGAUAAGUGCUGAAAGCAUCUAAGCAUGAAGCCCCCCUCAAGAUGAGAUUUCCCAACUUCGGUUAUAAGAUCCCUCAAAGAUGAUGAGGUUAAUAGGUUCGAGGUGGAAGCAUGGUGACAUGUGGAGCUGACGAAUACUAAUCGAUCGAAGACUUAAUCAA
rnacentral:rRNA from 1 species